GACGAACGCUGGCGGCGGGCCUAAUACAUGCAAGUCGAACGGAGUGGCGAACGGGUGAGUAAUGUAUCGGAACGUGCCCGGUAGCGGGGGAUAACUACGCGAAAGGGGAGCUAAUACCGCAUACUAUCGGAGCGGCCGAUAGCGGAUUAGCUAGUGGGUGGGGUAACGGCAUACAAAGGCGACGAUCCGUACCUGGUUUGAGAGGACGAUCAGCCACACUGGGACUGAGACACGGCCCAGACUCCUACGGGAGGCAGCAGUGGGGAAUUUUGGACAAUGGGGGAAACCCUGAUCCAGCCAUCCCGCGUGUGCGAUGAAGGUCUUCGGGUUGUAAAGCACUUUUGUCAGGAAAGCGGUACCUGCAGAAUAAGCCACGGCUAACUACGUGCCAGCAGCCGCGGUAAUAC
rnacentral:rRNA from 1 species